rnacentral:rRNA from 1 species
GAAUUGAUCGUGUCAGGAUGAACGCUAGCUACAGGCUUAACACAUGCAAGUCGAGGGGCAGCAUUGGAGUAGCAAUACUCAGAUGGCGACCGGCGCACGGGUGAGUAACACGUAUCCAACCUGCCGCUUACUCGGGGAUAGCCUUUCGAAAGAAAGAUUAAUACCCGAUGGUAUAAAGAGUUCGCAUGUUCUCUUUAUUAAAGAAUUUCGGUAAGCGAUGGGGAUGCGUUCCAUUAGAUAGUUGGCGGGGUAACGGCCCACCAAGUCUACGAUGGAUAGGGGUUCUGAGAGGAAGGUCCCCCACAUUGGAACUGAGACACGGUCCAAACUCCUACGGGAGGCAGCAGUGAGGAAUAUUGGUCAAUGGACGAGAGUCUGAACCAGCCAAAGUAGCGUGAAGGAUGACUGCCCUAUGGGUUGUAAACUUCUUUUAUAAGGGAAUAAAGUGAGGGACGUGUCCCUUUUUGUAUGUACCUUAUGAAUAAGGAUCGGCUAACUCCGUGCCAGCCGCCGC